ACGUUGCCGGAUAUUCUAAAAGUACAGGAGAGAGAAAGAGACUUGUAAAAGUUCAUCUAAAUUUGCAAUUCCUUUUAUAUUAAGGUUCAUACAGGGGAGACAGACAGACAGACAGACAGAGAGAGGGUAAAUUCAGAGCAAGCAUUCAACAUUUUAUGUCGGCAUAAACUACACUCAUGAACUUUUGAUCUAUAAUAAUAAUCUACGAACAGAAUUUUCAAGGUCACACACGCGCGCGCGGCCUAUCAAUAACAGAUGAUCGUGACAAGGUAUCAAGGUGUGUACUAUAGUUGUAUAUCAUUGCUCACAGAUCUACUCAUACAACGCGAUGCAUAAUUUAGGUGGGAGAAAAAGUGGAAUUGGAUUCAUUUUGUUUAACUUGGUCGUUGUCUUACGACGUUUCUCUUGAAAACAGUUUGCGAUGUGACUUGUCGUAGUACACCCACACUCAUCCUGUUUCCGGUGGAUUUAACGUUACCUUGUGGUCUGUUAGAAUUUUGCAACAUUAAUCUGUUUCGGGUCAAAAUGACAUGUCUUAUAAAUGUAGACAAUUCCUUGCCAUACAAACUACUUUUUUGAUUACUUUGCUUGUACAGGGCAGAGCCGUAUAUAGAGAGAGUUUGGCCAUGGUCGGAACCAGUUAUUCAAGGUCAAGUAUACAACCUGCGGCUGCCUUGACACAGUCAGAGCCUACAUGCCCAGGAUCCUGGUCACGCCACACACACACACACACACACACACGUCGCACACGGAAAAGAGUUUGAUUAAUUUUCGGUAAAUGACAUACUUUAUUCCUAUGGUUUGCUGGGUGGCAGUAGGAGGCUGUUCUGUACAGUAUGGACAGGGUGCAAGGAUGCGCAGAUUCCCUAGAAACCCAGAGAGACGACGGCAAUGGGAGAUGAAAGGGAUCUAGAAAAUUGGAAAGCACAUGACAGAUCUUAUUUAUGUUCGGUAACCGCUGCCCUAGAGGAGUCUGGUUAGAGUGCCCAAUCUACACCCUCAGAUGAAGGACUUCCUCCAACAUUGCAACAACCAUUGCGGAGAUCCAACAGAAUUGCAGCCAGAAGGAUUGUUAGGGGUGAGGAAAUCACCUAGUUGGAGUUAACUGCCCUCUUUCUUCAUCACCUGGCCUACUAACGAGCUAACGACCAGUGUCAACGAUCUUCAACGACUCUUGUUUUUAAAUUUACCUCUGUACAUGUUGUAACUAAUUGUUCAUUUGGACUGAAGAUGAACCCAGGGAAGGGUUCGAAAGCUUUUUGUAAAGUCUUAAAAAUUAUACACGGACUCUUAA